rnacentral:rRNA from 1 species
CCUGGUUGAUCCUGCCAGUAGUCAUAUACUUGUCUCAAAGAUUAAGCCAUGUAUGUGUAAAUAAGAACCAUUUAGGCUAUGAAAUUAUGAAUGGCUCAUUAAAUCAGUUGUAGUUUGUUUGAUGGUAUCUACUACUUAGAUAACCAUAGCAAUUCUAAAGCUAAUAUGUGCAACAAACCCUAACUUCUAGAAGGGAUGCAUUUAUUAGGUAAAAGGUCAAUGUGAGCUUUGCUUGUUGCUUUGAUGAUUCAUGAUCACUCAAUGGAUUGCACGGCCUUUGUAUCGGUGACGCAUCAUUUUAAUUUCUAUGCUAUCAACAUUUGAUGGUAGAAUAGUGGCCUACUAUGGUGGUGAUGGGUGAUGGAGAAUUAGGGUUCGAUUCCAAAGAGGGAUCCUAAAAAAUGAUUAUCACAUCCAAGGAAGGUAGUAGGCACGUAAAUUGCCCAAUCCUGACAUGGGGAGGCAAUGAUAAUAAAUAACAAUAUCGGGCUCUAUAAGUCUAGUACUUGGAAUGAGUACAAUCUAAAUCCCUUAAUGAGAAUCCAUUGGAGGGUAAGUCAGGUGCCAGUAGCCGCAGUAAUUCUAGCUUCAAUAACAUAUAUUUAAGUUGUUGUAGUUAAAAAGCUCAUUGUUGGAACUAGGGUUAAAUCAUUCUUUUUGCCUCACUGUGAGCACUAAUCUACUUGUUCCUACUACCGAUGAUGCAUUCCUGACGUUAAUUGGUCAAGUUAUUCCUUUAGCAUUGUUACUUUGAAGAAAUUAUAGUGCUUAAAGUAGGCCUAUGCUUUAUACAUUAGCAUGGGAUAACAUUAUAGGAUUUUGGUCCUAUUAUGUUGGCCUUUGGCAUCGGACUAAUGAUUAAUAGAGAUAGUUGAGGGCAUUCAUGUUUCAUAGUCAGAGGUGAAAUUCUUGGAUUUAUGAAAGAUGAACAACUGCAAAAGCAUUUGCCAAGGAUGUUUUCAUUAAUCAAGAAUGAAAGUUGAGGGCUCGAAGAUGAUCAGAUACCAUCCUAGUCUCAACUAUAAAUGAUGCCAACUAGGGAUCGAUGGAUGUUACUUUUACGACUUUGUCAGCACCUUAUGGGAAAUCAAAGUCUUUGGGUUCUGAUGGGAGUAUGGUCACAAGGUUGAAACUUAAAGGAAUUAAUGGAAAGGCACCAUUAAAAAUGGAGCUUGCGGUUUAAUUUGACUUAACACAAAGAAACUUACCAAGUCUAGACAUAGUAAGGAUUGACAAAAUAAAAGCUUUUUCUUGAUUCUAUGGGUGGUACUGUACAACCGUUCUUAGUUGUUAGAGUAAUUUGUCUAGUUAAUUUCCAUAACGAAUAAGACCUUAGCCUGUUAACUAGCUACGAGAAGGUGAUCAUUUGUGGCUAGCUUCUUAAAGGGACUAUGGCCACUUAAAUAAGAAGUUUAAGGCAAUAACAGGUCUGUGAUGCCCUUAGAUGUUCUAGGCUGCACGUGUAUUACACUAAGGUAUUCAAUGAGUCUAUAGCCUUGGUCGGUAGGCCCAUGUAAUCUUUGAAAUUUCAUCAUGAUGGGGAUAUAUUAUUGCAAUUGUUGGUCUUCAAUAAGGAUUUCCUAGUAAGUGUGAGUUAUUGGCUCGUGUUGACUACAUCCUUGCCCUUUGUACACAUCACCAAUCACUUUUACCGAUUGAAUGGUCGAGUGAAGUGUUCAAAUCAUGGCAACAUAGAUGUUUCACUGCCCGUGACAUCACGUGAAAUCCACUAAACCUUAUCAUUUAAAGGAAGGAAAAGUCUAACAAUGUUUCUAUAGGUGAACCUACAGAAG